UCAGACGAUGCGUCAUGCAUAUCAAUAAGCGGAGGAAAAGAAACUAACAAGGAUUCCCCUAGUAACGGCGAGUGAAGCGGGAAGAGCUCAAAUUUGAAAUCUUAAAGGGUUUCCCUUUACGAAUUGUAGUUUAAAGAAGUGUUUUCUGUUGAGGUUUUGGUAAAAGUUCUUUGGAAUAGGACAUCAUAGAGGGUGAGAAUCCCGUAUUUGACCUUUACUUUCAACUUUGUGAUACACUUUCAAAGAGUCGGAUUGUUUGGGAAUGCAGUCCAAAAUGGGUGGUAAAUUUCAUCUAAAGCUAAAUAUUGGCGAGAGACCGAUAGCGAACAAGUACCGUGAGGGAAAGAUGAAAAGAACUUUGAAAAGAGAGUUAAACAGUACGUGAAAUUGUCAAAAGGGAAGCGUUUGACACCAGUGUUGUUUUUCUGAAAAUCAAUUAAAGAACUGUUUAUGCUAAGCUGUUUAGACUUUAUCAGCUAACUGUUUAGUUUUGAGCUUUUCUUUAAUGCACUUUUCAGUUAACAAGUCAACAUCAAUUUCUUUUGCUGUAAAAAAGCUUGAGGAAGGUGGCUUGAGAUUCGUCUUAAGUGUUUAUAGCCUCUUGCCUAUGCAGUCGGAGAGAUUGAGGUCUGCAGCGUAGAUCCUUCGGGGCUAAAUGCAUUUGUGCUAAGUUAUAGCAUUUUAUAGACAACUUGUUGACUAUGAUUUGUCUUGUAGCUUACUCGCUUAUGUUAUUUUACCUACGCUUAGGAUGUUGAGUCUGUGCGAGACUAC
rnacentral:rRNA from 1 species